CCAGGAGCCACCAGUGCUCCAUGAUGAGGCUGAGGGACAAAUCCCCCCUGGCUUUGCAAUCAGGGAACAGGCUGGCUGGUAAGUGACUGGAAUGGUGACCUUCCCCUGCCCAACAAAACACAUCUUUGUCAAAGUGGAGCAGAUAAACAGUUUGGAAACAAAUUCUGCAGCUGCUGCUCUUUGCAAAAUGUGAUGUCUGCUGUCUCUCACAUCAGUCAUCGUCAGGACUGGGAUGAAGGGACUGAUGUAUCUAAACAGAAGGAUCAGAAGUUAACUGAAAUGGCAUGAUCUGAAUGAAAGGUCAGAGGCCAUCCAUGCCCUCCAGAGGAGCUCCUGUGCUUCCCUCUUGGAGAUGCAGGGUUACCAGCCAAGACAAGAAGUUUAGAAGUGCUGGCUGUAUCAGAAGGAAGUGGCAGAAGUGGAGUGAGGGAAAAAUGCAUGUCCACAGAUUACAGACAGAAAACCAGAAUAAUUUUGCCAUGUGA
rnacentral:lncRNA from 1 species